GAGUUUGAUCCUGGCUCAGGACGAACGCUGGCGGCGUGCUUAACACAUGCAAGUCGAACGGUAAGGCCCCAGCUUGCUGGGGUACACGAGUGGCGAACGGGUGAGUAACACGUGGGUGACCUGCCCCGCACUUCGGGAUAAGCCUGGGAAACUGGGUCUAAUACCGGAUAGGACCGCACCGUGAGGGUGUGGUGGAAAGUUUUUCGGUGUGGGAUGGGCCCGCGGCCUAUCAGCUUGUUGGUGGGGUAAUGGCCUACCAAGGCGGCGACGGGUAGCCGGCCUGAGAGGGUGGACGGCCACAUUGGGACUGAGACACGGCCCAGACUCCUACGGGAGGCAGCAGUGGGGAAUAUUGCACAAUGGGCGGAAGCCUGAUGCAGCGACGCCGCGUGGGGGAUGACGGCCUUCGGGUUGUAAACUCCUUUCACCAUCGACGAAGGUUUUCUGACGGUAGAUGGAGAAGAAGCACCGGCUAACUACGUGCCAGCAGCCGCGGUAAUACGUAGGGUGCGAGCGUUGUCCGGAAUUACUGGGCGUAAAGAGCUCGUAGGUGGUUUGUCGCGUCGUCUGUGACAUUCCGGGGCUUAACUCCGGGCGUGCAGGCGAUACGGGCAUAACUUGAGUACUGCACGGGAGACUGGAAUUCCUGUUGUCACCGCGAAAUGCGCAGAUAUCAGGACGGAACACCGGUGGCGAAGGCGGGUCUCUGGGCAGUAACUGACGCUGAGGAGCGAAAGCAUGGUUAGCGAACAGGAUUAGAUACCCUGGUAGUCCAUGCCGUAAACGGUGGGCGCUAGGUGUAGGGGUCUUCCACGACUUCUGUGCCGUAGCUAACGCAUUAAGCGCCCCGCCUGGGGAGUACGGCCGCAAGGCUAAAACUCAAAGGAAUUGACGGGGGCCCGCACAAGCGGCGGAGCAUGUGGAUUAAUUCGAUGCAACGCGAAGAACCUUACCUGGGCUUGACAUAUACGGGACCGGGCCAGAGAUGGUCCUUCCCUUGUGGCUCGUAUACAGGUGGUGCAUGGUUGUCGUCAGCUCGUGUCGUGAGAUGUCGGGUUAAGUCCCGCAACGAGCGCAACCCUUGUCUUAUGUUGCCAGCACGUAAUGGUGGGGACUCGUGAGAAACUGCCGGGGUCAACUCGGAGGAAGGUGGAGAUGACGUCAAAUCAUCAUGCCCCUUAUGUCCAGGGCUUCACACAUGCUACAAUGGUCGGUACAGUGGGUUGCGAUGCCGUGAGGUGGAGCUAAUCCCUGAAAGCCGGUCUCAGCCCGGAUCGGGGUCAGCAACUCGACGCCGUGAAGUCGGAGUCGCUAGUAAUCGCAGAUCAGCAACGCUGCGGUGAAUACGUUCCCGGACCUUGUACGGACCGCCCGUC
rnacentral:rRNA from 1 species